rnacentral:rRNA from 1 species
AGAGUUUGAUCCUGGCUCAGGACGAACGCUGGCGGCGUGCCUAAUACAUGCAAGUAGAACGCUGAAGGAGGAGCUUGCUUCUCUGGAUGAGUUGCGAACGGGUGAGUAACGCGUAGGUAACCUGCCUGGUAGCGGGGGAUAACUAUUGGAAACGAUAGCUAAUACCGCAUGACAACAGUUAUUGCAUGAUAACUGUUUAAAAGGGGCAAUUGCUCCACUACCAGAUGGACCUGCGUUGUAUUAGCUAGUUGGUGAGGUAACGGCUCACCAAGGCGACGAUACAUAGCCGACCUGAGAGGGUGAUCGGCCACACUGGGACUGAGACACGGCCCAGACUCCUACGGGAGGCAGCAGUAGGGAAUCUUCGGCAAUGGACGGAAGUCUGACCGAGCAACGCCGCGUGAGUGAAGAAGGUUUUCGGAUCGUAAAGCUCUGUUGUAAGAGAAGAACGAGUGUGAGAGUGGAAAGUUCACACUGUGACGGUAUCUUACCAGAAAGGGACGGCUAACUACGUGCCAGCAGCCGCGGUAAUACGUAGGUCCCGAGCGUUAUCCGGAUUUAUUGGGCGUAAAGCGAGCGCAGGCGGUUAGAUAAGUCUGAAGUUAAAGGCUGUGGCUUAACCAUAGUACGCUUUGGAAACUGUUUAACUUGAGUGCAAGAGGGGAGAGUGGAAUUCCAUGUGUAGCGGUGAAAUGCGUAGAUAUAUGGAGGAACACCGGUGGCGAAAGCGGCUCUCUGGCUUGUAACUGACGCUGAGGCUCGAAAGCGUGGGAGCGAACAGGAUUAGAUACCCUGGUAGUCCACGCCGUAACGAUGAGUGCUAGUGUUAGACCCUUUCCGGGGUUUAGUGCGGUAGCUACGCAUUAAGCACUCCCGCCUGGGGAGUACGACCGCCAAGUUGAAACUCACAAGGAAUGAUCGGGGGGCCGCCCAGACAGCUGAGCAUGUUGUUUUAUUUCUAAGCAACACGCAGAAACUUAUCAGGCUUGAGAUACCGCGGGC